GACAUGAGGAGGUUUCAUUGAAGAGAAAAUGGUGUGGAACUCCUCCAAAUGUUUAUGUGGGCAUUCACCUGCAAAACCAUGAAACUUAGGCAGCAAAUGUAUAAGUCCAGAGGUGAGAAUGUAAUGAACAUCAUCCUCAUUAAGUGAAGUUGGCUUCCUAGGAGCACUCUCAAGAAUGGGAGGAUGAGUCAUAUUGUUCUCAACAUAAAACUCAGCAAAAUAUGCAUGUGAAGCAAUAUCAGAGUUAAAUCUGGAAGGAGAAUCAUAAUCAUAGACAUAGGCAGAAGAAGCAGUAUUCACGAAAUCAAAAUAGGUAGACAUGUAGAAGAAAAAGGGGGAAAAGAAGAAUGCAAUGAAAAUAUGCAACUAAAGCUACCUAAAUGCAACACACAAUGACGAACACACAAAACAGAACAUCACACUCGCAACACAAGACAAAACACAACACACAUUAACACAACAAAAGACCCAACACCGAACCGUUGGUCCCCGGCAACGACGCCAAAAUUUGAUGGGUUGUCGCAACC
rnacentral:lncRNA from 1 species